UACUACCGAAGCUACGGCAUCAGUAAUGAUGGGUAGGGGAGCUUCCCAUACGGGUUGAAGCAUGACCGUAAGGACAUGUGGACAGUAUGGGAGUGAGAAUGUUGGCAUGAGUAGCGAGAUGUGGGUGGGAAUCCCACAGGCCGUAAACCCAAGGUUUCCAGGGGAAGGUUCGUCCGCCCUGGGUUAGUCGGGACCUAAGCUGCGGCCGAAAGGCGUAGGUGAUGGACAACAGGUUGAUAUUCCUGUACUACCGAUAACCGUUUGAGAGAAGGGAUGACACAGUAGGAUAAGCUAAGCACACUGUUGGUUAUGUGUGCCCAAGCAUUGAGGCAGUCAAAGUAGG
rnacentral:rRNA from 1 species